CAGCAGCCGCGGUAAUACCGGCGGCCCGAGUGGCGGUCACUAUUAUUGGGCUUAAAGCGUCCGUAGCCGGGUUGGGGAGUCCUCCGGGAAAUCUGGCCGCUUAACGGUCAGAAUGCCGGAGGAUACUCCCAGCCUAGGGAGCGGGAGAGGCCGAGGGGAUUCCCGGAGUAGGGGUGAAAUCCUAUAAUCCCGGGAGGACCACCUGUGGCGAAGGCGCUCGGCUGGAACGCGUCCGACGGUGAGGGACGAAGGCCAGGGGAGCAAACCGGAUUAGAUACCCGGGUAGUCCUGGCGGUAAACGAUGCGGACUUUGUGUCGGACAAGCUAUGAGCUUGUCCGGUGCCGGAGGGAAACCGUUAAGUCCGCCGCCUGGGGAGUACGGCCGCAAGGCUGAAACUUAAAGGAAUUGGCGGG
rnacentral:rRNA from 1 species